ensembl:snRNA U6 U6 spliceosomal RNA
AUACUCCCUUUGGCAGCACAUACACUAAAAUUGGCGUAAUAGAGAGAAAAUUACCAUGGCUCCCAUGCAAGGAUGACACAAAAAUGCACAAUAAAGUGCUCCACAUUUUC